UAGAGGAUAAACAUUUCCAGUCCUACUGCCU
rnacentral:piRNA from 2 species